rnacentral:lncRNA from 1 species
UCACAGGAGCCACACCAUAUCCAGGAAUGACAGUAAGGGAGGUAAUUCAAGAUGUAACCAUUGGUAAAUGGUUACAGAAACCCUUUCAUUGCAAACAAGAACUGUGAGUAAUAAUCGUACAUGUAUAUAUUAUUUACAAAAGUACCAAUGAUGACACUCAAUUGGUUCUAAGAAAUCUGUUUCAUUAAGAAUAAAAUAUCAUAGGGGAUAGGACAAUUUUUUUGUUUCCAAAAAUCCGUUAUUUAAAAAAAAACACACAUUAAUUUCAUGUUUCAUUGUAUCACAAACAAAUUUAAUGUCAAUUUAAAUAAUGAUAAAAAUAUAUGAUGCAUUAUAAUAUUCCAAGUGUGAAAACUAAACUGUACAUUUCUUUAUUUUUGUCAUUUUUUUUUGUCAUUUUGGAAACGGUCAAGACACUCGUAAAUGUAACAAGUUACUAGAUAAAAAGUUUAAUGUACUGAAAUGUUACUGUUUGAAGUUUCUGCUUUAAAAUUUGGUAACAAAAAACAUUCUACAUGUAAAUAUGAACCAAUCAAAUAAUGAAGAAAAGAUAAACGCAUCCAAACGUUUUUAUUAGAAUAGCGAAGCUACAAGUAACUCAUAAACACUGUCACACAAAAAUGAUAAAAGAAGUAAAAAAAAAACUAGAAACCUAAUCACUGCUAUCAGAAUGCAAUUUUUCUGAUAUUAUGUCUUACUUGUCUGAAAGUUUUAAUGCUUAUGUCCCCAUAGAAAUUCAAAUACAUCAAUUGUCUCAAUGUCGGAUAUUGUAUUGACUUUACAAUGUCUACAGUCGCUGGCGCAUUUACUGUUCGACCACUUGGGACUGUCCUAUGCAUUUGCGUGGUCAAUUUCAUAAAAGGAAUUGCAUGUAUAUUUCAUUGUUUGAAAUUGUCUGUCCUAAUAUAUAUAAGUCUACGGUUUUUGAAAUAAAAGUGAACUAAAUUUCAGUCAUUUUUCCGAUCAAGAUACUACUAAGGGCACCUUUUCAAGGCACGAUUAGAGUAUCCAUAUUAGAGACAACGUUAAAAAAAUGAACGAUAAAAAUACAAUACAAAUGUGAAGAAUUCUUAAUAAGAAAAGUAAAGCUUCAUGGAAUAAUAUAAAAUUUGAACAGACGCUUCUUUAUGAUAAAAAUACAUUAUCCAGAGUAAAAUUGCAUCAAUAUGUAUUUACCUUUUUUCGUAUUUUACUGAUAAAUGGACUUAUUUUUUUACAAUCAACAAGUACAUAGAGAAUAAUACAUGGCAAAAUCCGUAUCAUAUGUCGUAUCAUCCCGAGACAUCAAUAUCAGCCCAAGGGCCUUUAGGCCCGAGGGAUGAUAUUGGUCGAGGGUGAUACGGCAUGUGAUACGGAUUUUGCCAUGUAUUAUACGCUUUAUCAUAUAUUUCAACAGAAGAGUAUUAUAUUAUAUGAACUGUUUUCUGAUCCAUAGCACUGGGUUACCUUCAGUUCUACUUUUGUCUUGUUUCAAAGGCCUAAAAAGAACUGCUUAAUUACUUAUCCGAAGCACCUGGGUUACCUUACAAUUUGCGUGCUGUUGUUUUAAAAAUAUUUUGUUUAUUAUUGUAUUUAUUUGUGUAUUUUGUAUUUUUUAUAGUUGCAUUUAGUGUGCCAAAAAAUAUGAAAACUUUACGUUCGUGAAGUCACAUACAAUAUGAAAACUUGACGUUUGUGACGUCACAUAUAAAAAAAAUGACGUCAUUUAAAAAAAUUACCUAUUUUGAGGAAAAUUUUUCUUAUACAAAAAAAAACAAAAAAAGCUGACUUUAUGUAAAAAAAAAAAAAAAAAAAAAAGUAGGGGUGUGAUAAAGGGUUGAGGUGUGAUAAAGGGUUGAGGUGUGAUAAAGGGUAUGCGAUAAAGGGUAGGGGUGUGAUAAAGGGUAUGCGAUAAAGGGUGCGCAUCAAAGUUGCGCGAUAUGGAUUAAACAGCAGGCUAUUUAUCAAAUAUGAAAAACUACUGUAUUUACUACUAAACAUAUGAUAAAUGUAGAUACUGUCUGAGAUUAAAGUUUGUUACGCAUCAAUUUUUUUGUUAUUGUUUCAUGGAAUUUUAUGAAACAUUGACAGAAUCUUUUUAUGGUGAAGAGAUAAUAUUUGAAAAAAAGUUUUCUCCUGCACCUUAAGGAUUAUAUCAAUUAUUAUAUAGGUAAAUGGAUUAGUUCUAAAGUGCACAUGUCUGUCUGGUAGGUAUUAUUUGUCAUUGACCUCAUUUUCAUGGUUCAUUGGUCAAUAUUAAAUUUCCAAAGUUUGGUCCUCUUCUCAGAUGCUAAAAUCAAUGGAUCAACACAUACAGAAACGGACUAAGCAUUAGCAAUCCUGCUCCACAUGUGACACCCGUUGUGUUGCUCAUGUAAUUACAAACCCGGUAAAUAGUCUAAUUCGGUCGGUCACAUUCAUGAAAAGGGAAGGGGAAGCGAAAGUGAGCAACAUAUCCGAUAUCAUCUGUGUAACGGUUGUUCCAUAACGGCUAACCAACUCGUGAUGGCGUCCGUAAAAUUUACGAAGGGAUGAUUUCAACUUCACCAUUUGGAACUCUUGGUUGAAUAGCUUCCUUGUGAGCAACCCUCUAUCAAGAAAUUCAUGAUAGGAAAUACAAGCGAUGGAAUAUCGUAUCAAUUGUAGAUAUAUACUCUGUAUGCAGGCGCUGUUGGAAUGUUGCUGCAUAGAAAUGGAAAGUUCUCAAUUAGGAAGCUGUAUCUCGUUUGUCGUAAAGUUUUGUUUUCAACCGACCCUCAUUGUCAAUUUCUAGAUGUAAGUCAAGAUGUGAGGCAAACGUAACAAAUAUGUUGUCAAUCAAGAAAUUAAGCAUCUUGAUAAUGUCAGUUUCAGAGAAUAUUUUGUUUGAAUCAGUGUGAUCCUUUACAAAGUAGGAUUUAUAAGUGCAUGGAAUGCUUAUAAGGUAAGGUUUACAUGUUUGUCGGUCAUAGUGCAUAUGACCUUGACCUCAUUGUUAUGGAUCAUUGAUAGUGUUAUAUUUUUGGAACCUUUAUCUGUAUUACUUUCAACAUAAAACCAAUCGUGGUCAAUAAGGCAGGUGAGACAUUAUAUCGUGUACACUCUUGUUUUCCAAGAAAUCUCAAAAUUCGUAAUCUGCUGGCAAAGGAAUUAUAUCAUUUUACGCUUAAAAUAACUGAACAAAAAAUAAAAAAUGCUGUUUUACUCAAUGUCAAAGUUUACUCUGUGUAAAGAAUUUCAGUUAGUUUAUCAAAAUAAAAUCCAAUAAUCCAUGACUUAGAGAUCAACAUAUUGUAUAAAUGAUGACACUGAACUUGAGAAUAAGUUAACAAAAGAUACACUUAAGUCUGCCUCUUAUCUUGACUUACAUAGUUAACAAAGGUACCAGGGGCAAGUAACAAGAAACAUCUCUUAAAGUUCUCGUAAGUCAUAGUUUACGAUAGCACAAAGAGUGCACUAAGAGUCUUUUAGGAGUGUAACUAGAAGCAUUCUUUACUCUCCCUUUUCUUUCUCUUGACAUCGUUUAAGAAUACCCUUAAGACGGUCUUAUUCUGAGCACACUUACUAACUCUCCGUCCUGUCCGUUUACGUUUUCUUUCUAUGAUUUAGUCAUUGCCAAUUAAAAAUCUCUCUUGCGUUUUGAGGUAAGGGAUUUGUUCUUACAUAUUCUGCUUAAUUAUUUAUCCUGAUUAAGUUAAGAACGAGUGAAUAUUUAAGAGAAAAAGAAUAUUUUGGCUCAGUGCAAAAUAGCACAAAAACCGGAUUUUUAAACAAGAAGAAAUAUCUCCCACAACGGUAAAAUUUGACAUGAACAGUUUAUUAUCGGUGCAAAUUAAUUGGUUAACUAUAUAUAUCAACUGAUAAAGGAAAGAUUUCAUUCAUUUCCGUAACCCGAACAACCAUCGAGACAAAGUCCCCUUUUACAGUAGAAAAAUCAAUUAUAAAAAAAAAAAUCGGGAAAAUUUCAUUGUACUAAUGAACUCAAAAUCGUUAACUUUUUUUUGUCACUUUUUUUUAAUUCCCGCAUUUGCGCAGAACACAGAAAUCUACUUCCUUCUUCCGGUGUCGUUGUCAUGUGACUUUGAGUAGUCAAGUAAAAUAUAGUGGCUUUAGGAACACAAUACAAAUUUCAUCUUUAAUAAGUCUUUGUCUUUCAUAUUAAUAUGAGGCAGGCAUUACCUGUGAAUGGGGACGAAGUCUGUAUGAAUGAUUUUUUUGUAACUUAAAUAUUUGUUAAAAAAAAAAAAAAAAAGAAACGGAAAUACCGUAACGUUUCCGUUUUUGAUUCUGCUGUUAGGGAUUUUACUUUAUUUCCUAUCAUGAUUCCCUUGUUUGACGUUUGCUACUCACAGAGAAGCUGUUUAUCAACAGUUCUGAGUGGUGAAAUCAUCCCUUUGUAAAUUUUACGGCCGUUUACACGAUACGGUUGUAUUAGAAUAUCAGUUUCUCAUAUGAUAGCCGAUAUGUUCCGAACAGGCCAGGUGAGUGUUUCUCAUUACUUUGUGUACGUCGUCAGUCAUCGUGGUUAGCUUUGACAAAAAUCUUCUCCUCUGCAACUUGGACACAUUUCAUCAUUGACCACAAUCAUUAUUGAGGAAUCUAGUUUUGAAAAUGUGCCAGAUUACCUCUCUUGCCAACCAACAUUUGUACAAAUAGAAAAAUAAAAUCUUAUACAGCGUCAUCUUCGCCAAUUUUACGCUCAAUUGUUUAGGUCAUAAUGAUCUAUUUUACAUAUUUCGUGGACAGGUAUAUAACGGCGCAAAUCGUGUCCCCAAGUUAUAGUGUCUGUUUGAAAUCAUAGUGCAUACGUAUGCUGCAUGGAGGGGAAGUAAUGAACGCAUAAUAUACGUAGCUUUAAUAGUUGUCCCACAAAGACGCGGUGUGUCAGUGUACUAAGAUCACCCCGAUGGCCGGCUUGUAUCUUCAUGCAAAUACAAGCUUUUGUCGAUUAACAAAGAUGCAGAUAUACAGUAAUGCAACACUUAUAGUCACUUAAAGAUAAGCUGAGAAUCCCUUCUAUGUCUGUCCGGAGUUUUUUUGUCUUGUGUCCCCUAUAUCUUCAUAAGGAUUAGGAUGACACAGGAAUUUGUCAUUGUAUUAAAAUUAAGAAGUGUAGAUAGAGUGGCAUAUUGAAAACAAUAUAUAACCGAAUAGAGAAAAAAUAAAGAGAAUGAUCGACGAAAAUGGUAACUAGUUAUUGCAAAGAAGCGGUAAUAAAAAGAGAGGCACAUUGGGAAACAAAUGUUUGCAUGACAAAGUUAUUGCUCGCUUUGAUAUUUUUAGUUAUACAAAAUCACACAUCGUGUUCCUAAUUGAUAUUCACGUGCACUUACUUGUUGUCUGCACAGCGGCAUCGUUAUAACUUAAAAUUAAUUAAGUUUUCCAUUUGUUAUAUCGUAGUGUUGCUGUGUUUCUUUAUUAAUGAUUGUGUAAACUGUAUAAAAAAUCUUCAUACCCGUUUAGUUAUUGCCUAUAGACGUUUGAUUAUUGUUACAUACGAUAAAUAUAUAUAGAGAGAGAGACACAGAGAGAGAACCUUUAUUAAACCUUAAAGUAAAACGACAUAAGAACCCUGUAGUACUAGCUACUCAAUAUGGUUGUAUUGGAAUACAGAUUGACAACUAGGCAUGGUCCGAGAUCAUGUAAUAUUUGCCAUAUGACGCUCAUAUUUCUUUCUACCAUCAUAAUUUUAUUCAUUAAAUAUUGCUGUAAACAUCAAUGUUCAGUAACACCCAAACAAAAUGGGAUUAGUAUUUAUACCCUCAGAGCUUCUUCGUGGUAUAUAUUUGUGAAAUAUAUAAAUACUUUUUUGAGAGAACACUCACCAAACCAAAACGAACGAUAUAACCAUGCAGGCAUUUAGUUUUCGUCAGACACAAGAUAAAUAAUCACUCUCAAAAAUGUAUAUAUAUAUAUAUGCAUGCAGUUUCAAAUAUCAAAAACAUUUAGCGGUCGAUGUCUAUAGGUCACUGUUAAUAGAUAUAGGAAGAUGUGGUGUGAGUGCCAAUGAGACGACUCUCAAUACAAAUAACAAUUUAAAAAGUAAACCAUUAUAGGUUAAAGUACGGCCUUCAACACGGAGCCUUGGCUCACACCGAACAACAAGCUAUAAAGGGCCCCAAAAUUACUAGUGUAAAACCAUUCAAACGGGAAAACCAACGGUCUAAUCUAUAUAAACAAAACGAGAAACGAGAAACACGUAUGUAUUACAUAAACAAACGACAACUACUGUACAUCAGAUUCCUGACUUAGGACAGGUGCAAACAUGUGCAGCGGGAAUUAACGUUUUAAUGGAUCCAAACCUUCUCCCUUUUUCUGAAACAAUAGCAUAACAUCACAACAAAGAAAAACAUACGAUAAAAUAUCAAUUGGCAGACUUAACUCAAUCAAAAAACGUAUGAUUAAACAAUGAACGAAUAAAUUUGAUCUGCGAUAUCUGAAUACAAAUGCACAGUUAAUUAAAUAUUAGAGACAAACAUUCAUGACCAAAAAGCUAACCUCCGUUUACAAACUGUUGAGAGUCAGACAUGCCACUUGUACAUUCUUGGAAGCCUUCAUGUACCACAUUGGACGAUGGGAACUCUUCUCUGAUGGUGUUGACAACAUAAGCUUAUAUGGUAAUUCUGGUUAUCUGUAUACAAGUGGUUGGCCUCGUCUGUCCCAACAAUCAUAUAAACGAAACGCUACUAGUCUGCUUUUUCUGGUAGAGAGGACCUCUGGAACUCAUCCUCAAUGGCACUUAUACGUCAGAAAACUUACAAGUAUACAAGUAAAGAUUGUUUCAAGAACAACGAGGUUGGGACGAAUUAAUCUAUAUAAAAUCGUCAAUAGCAGUUAUACAUUACUAAGAUAUGCCUUUUAUUACAACUACUCAGUGGCGGAUCCAGCCAUUAAAAAAAGGGGGGGGUCCCAACCCAGAGUAAAAAGGGAGGGGGGGUUCCAACUAUAUGCUCCCAUUCAAAUGCAUUGAUCGUCCAAAAAAAGGGGGGUUCCAACCCCCGGACCCCCCCCCUCCCCUGGAUCCGCCACUGCUACUGUAUUACUAAUUUGGAUAAUUGACCGCUAUCCUGAUUAAUUUAAAUAAGUAAGAACGAAAUGUAAGAAGAAAAAAAAUCAUUUGCGAUACUUAGCAUUUAAAAAUCGCCAGAUUUAAAUACAAGUUAAAAAAUUUCGGUAAAGUAAAUCAGAUGUGCAAUAGUUUUUAUUUGGGAAACGCAACAUUUAAUUUUAAAGAUUCUUUCAACUUAAUAUUUGAAUUGUAUGCUAAUGGCAUAGAACGUUAUCGGUAAUUGUUCCAUUUUUAUGUUGCAUACACUUCCGAAAUUAAAAAUUUAUUUUUAAUAAAUUUAUACAAUUAAAUUAUUGUUUCUCUAUUGUCAUCGGUGUAUUAAACUCCCUAUACCCGUUCUGUUAAUUCAUUCGAAAUGGCAACAUUCACAGCUGUGUAAACUUGAAUUCACACCUGUGUACACCUGAGGCUAAAUUGCUGCAAGGUAAAGUUCAAACCAAUUCUACGCAAAUCGAGAAAUAUACAAUGACUUAACAAAAUAAUAUACACACUCUUCACACAUAUUUUUCAUUGAAAAGGUUAUCGAAGUUAUAACGGUAAAUAAAACGAAAAUAUUUUCAGUUCAAGAUUAGUAAAAAAAACAGAUAUUUUAUGAAAAAAUCCCAACAAUAAUUUUUCAAAUUAAUUCGAAAAUAUUUAUAUAAUUAUAAUUAUAUAGGAAGUUUUAUUCAAUAAUACAAAACGGUACACGCACGUUUAUUUUGAUAUUGUGGUUAUUAACUACGACCAACGAUCAUCUGUGCGCUUUUAAUUUCGUAGUAUUGUGAGAAGAAAUUAAGACUUUAACAUAUUUUAUUUUUUCCCAUGAUUCAACAAAUCGGGCUAAAACGUCACAACCCACUCUCGUAGGUCAAGCAAAAAAGUUACAAAUACUUGAUUUUCUCCGUUAUUAGAAGGAAUAUAAAUAUAAAACUUUGUGAUUGUGUUUUUUAUGAUAAGACGAACAUAUUAAGAUGAUAAGUAAAAUAUCGCGGAAUUUCCCUUUAAACAUUUCGAUCCUAAAUGAUUGAUUUAUUGUUGGUGUUUUAACACCACUUUUGAGCUAUUUCGUGACGGCCAGUUUGUAUUGGUAGAGGAAGUCGGAUUGCCCGGAGAAAUCCACCUAUAUUAGAUAGGAAAACUGACAACUCUAGUCAAUUAAGUCAGAGUGGAGCCGAGUGUGUUCAUAGUCACAACCUCAGUGUUGACUGGCUAGUGAAUACAGUAUAGUAGGUUAACGGAAUAACAGACGGCUAUAUUUUAUAUCGUUGGAAAGAGGAGAAAAAGCCUCAUCGAAAUAGCGUUGUCGUCGUUGUCUGUCUUGGUCACGUUUUUAGGCAGUUAAGCUGCCUUAUGUGAGCACCCUAUAUUUAUGUUCUACCCAAUAAAUGCUGAAAUAUGUGCCAUUGUUAUUAUCUAGCUGGAUGUUUUGUUAUUCAUAACUUAUUGGACAGUUUUUUCAUACUUUUAAUUCUUGAUUACAAAAAAUAUGAUCAGAAAAACCUUAAAUGAUCGUCGAUUUAUCUAAAAGUUUUGAAGUUGCACAUAGGAAGUAGGGCACAUUAGGAAUCUUUAUGUAGUUUAUUAUCCCCUGAGAUUUUGGCUAAUUAAGCUGUCAAAGAACAAAUGUAUGGUUUAAUCGCCAAAAUUUUCUUAAGACAAAUAGCAAAAGUCGAAGGAAUAUUGUUUGUCGUCAAAACGUAGUCAACUACGUCAGUAGUCUUAAAAUAAGUUCCACUGUUCAUGCUGUUGGCGGCAAUUUUAAAUUAUAAGACGAAAUUUUUAUAUCUUUUCAAUUUGGAGGCAGGGGUUCAAUUAGCGGUUGUCCGAGGUCUGCGAACUUCCACUUUUGCAGUCGGAAUUUCGACUUGGUUACUAGCUACGCUCGACAUUCACGACUUGAGAGGAAAUAAAAAAAUAACUUUGCAAAUCUUUUUACAAAAGUCUCCUAAUAAACGAUCUCAAAACUUGUUUUUAGCAUUAUUAUUCAUGACAGCGAUGUUCAUUUUGUUCAACCGCUAGCUUUAUACAGAAAAUCGCCGACAAAUAAUGUGCGAAUUCGAGUAAAAUCGUUUCUGACAAAAACAACAUUGAAAACAAAAUGGCUGAGGUAGCAAUAAACAGUUAGGAAAAAAUAUUAAAAUUUGCCCUUAUAAAUUUUACCAUCCCCUUUUCAUUGCUUUCUUGCAAUAUCAAGCUUACUGUUUGUGUCAUAUAUGGGCAUAUGUAUGUAAUCAGAAUCUUCCAUAGAUUUUAUAUCCAGUAUAUAAAAUGGUAAAAUAUAAUUUCUUUUGGGUGUAUCCAUGGCAACAAUCUGCAUUUAUUUGUUAUAAAAUAUUGCAAAAAGGGGGGAAAAGAUGUCGCAUAUUUCCCCAAAAUUUGGCUAAAAGUAGAAUUUCAAUCGCUUGAAGUAAUACCUUUUCUGAAACUGUGUACAUAUAUCAUUCAGCAAAUCCAAUGAAAAUCAUAAGUCCUUAAUCUCAUUUUUUUGUAAAAUUACGUCAAAAACUUUGGCCCGAGACCACAACUAAUUCCUCUAUCAUUUCUUUAUAACAUUUUGUCGCAUUAAAAAAAAAUUUGCCUAUUCUUUUUGUCUAAUUUUUUGUGUGUGUAAUGUAAGUACAAGUCCAAAAUAUGUCCAAGUUUCAGAAAAAAUUGCACGUAUAAAACUUACAAAUUUAGCAAUACACAUCAUACCCUAUGGACAAGUCAAGAGAUGUUCCGAAAACUGUAAAUAUCACCUUUUUGCACCUGACCUAAUCACUCUUUCCAUAUCAAAAUCAGUUAAAAUUAAACAUCUAAAAAUUUAUUUCACCUCUCUUCUUUCAUUUCCACCUUAUAAAAGCUAAGAAAUGUUUGAGAAAAGGAAAGAAAAAUUUUAAGAAGAAAUACACUAUAAUUAAAGGGAACUAUAUUCGUGAACAACGAAAAGAGGGGUCAUUAAUAAAAUCAACGGUACCAAUUUUGUUGCACCAGAUGCGCAUUUCGACAAUAUAUGUCUCUUCAGUGAUGCUCGUGGCCAAAAUAUUUGAAAUCCAAAGCUUAUAUAAAAGAUGAAGAGCUAUAAUCCAAAAGGUCAAAAAGUAUAGCCAAAUUCGUGAAAGGAAUCAGAGCUUUUGCAUGAGGGAGAUACAUUCCUUAAUUAUAUAAUAAUUUCUAAUAUUUUGUAACAGCAAAUUUUAAUAACACAAAAAUCCGUAUUUUCAUGCCAGUACCGAAGCACUGGCUACUGGGCUGGUGACCCUCGGGGACUAAUAGUCCACCAGCAGAGGCAUCGACCCAGUGGUAGUAAUAAAAUCAACGGUACCAAUUUUGUUGCACCAGAUGCGCAUUUCGACAAUAUAUGUUCUUCAGUGAUGCUCGUGGCCAAAAUAUUUGAAAUCCAAAGCUUAUAUAAAAGAUGAAGAGCUAUAAUCCAAAAGGUCAAAAAAGUAUAGCCAAAUUCGUGAAAGGAAUCAGAGCUUUGCAUGAGGGAGAUACAUUCCUUAAUUUAUAAUAAUUUCUAAUAUUUUGUAACAGCAAAUUUUAAUAACACAAAAAUCCGUAUUUUCAUGCCAGUACCGAAGCACUGGCUACUGGGCUGGUGAUACCCUCGGGGACUAAUAGUCCACCAGCAGAGGCAUCGACCCAGUGGUAGUAAUAAAAUCAACGGUACCAAUUUUGUUGCACCAGAUGCGCAUUUCGACAAUAUAUGUCUCUUCAGUGAUGCUCGUGGCCAAAAUAUUUUGAAAUCAAAGCUUAUAUAAAAGAUGAAGAGCUAUAAUCCAAAAGGUCAAAAAAGUAUAGCCAAAUUCGUGAAAGAAUCAGAGCUUUGCAUGAGGGAGAUACAUUCUUAAUUUAUAAUAAUUUUCUAAUAUUUUGUAACAGCAAAUUUUAAUAACACAAAAAUCCGUAUUUUCAUGCCAGUACCGAAGCACUGGCUACUGGGCUGGUGAUACCCUCGGGGACCAAUAAUUGUGGUCUUGGGCCUAUUACUUUGUGUAGAAAAAAAGUGUUUGUAAACAUUACAUUAAUUUCUGGACCGAUGACCGGUCUAGCUAUGAAAAUACGGAUUGUCAAACAGAAAACAGCCCAUAAAACAUGUAAAAAUGAUGCUCUUAUAAACCAUCUUUGAAGGCUAAAUUAGCACUCAGCUGUCUAAAAUGACACAAUAACUUUGGGGGCCAAAUGCGAAACUAAACUCCUAACUGUGUAUUGCUACCUGAGAUGAGAAGAAAAUUCUAAUAUCGGAUCCGAUUCCGGAAGCGGAUAUGGGUAAUUCCGGGUUUUGGCGAUCUUUGAACUUUUAAAAAAAUCAGACAGAUGACAAAAUACAUCUUUGCAUGGUAAAUAAAUAUAAACACUAGAAUUGAAAACCAAAAGAUAUAUGUAAAAGAAUGAAAAAACAGAAAAUAUAUUGUACUGAAAAUGUGAGAAACGUACAAUUAAAUACAAUGAUGAUGAAGUAGAGCAGAAUAUAAUGGUGCAACAGUGCCAGCGUUCUGAAGAUCCAUAGGUAUCCAUAGGAAACUCAAAAUUACUUUUUGACAAAUUUUAAUGUCAAAAUCCAAUACAAUGUGAGUCUUUGUGACAGCUGGGAACAGUAUAUCUAACAAUAUAUAUGGUCCUGGUGACAGUAUAAAUUUUCUUUUUCAGUAAUAAAUGUUGGUAAAGCAAGUUAGAUGCUUUUAAAGUGUAUUUUUGUUCCUCAAUUUUGAUGGGUCAGUUAAAAUAGCUGGAAGUUUCUUAUUUUACACAUAUAGUGCAACUAGAUUAUAUGAUACCUGAAUGUAAGCAAAUUAUAUGUAUGUGGAGUCCUUUGGGGCACUCUACCCCCUCCUGUUUGAUAACUUUGAAACGGAUGAGAUCCCCAAUCCCAAUCACUCCUGUUUGGGAACUUUGAAACAGUCGAGAUCCCCACCCCUAAACCAUAUAUAUUCAUGUAUGGGACAAUAUAAUCAAUCAAAUGAAAUACAGGGGGAGUCCCUGGGGUCACCCUACCACUCCUGUUUGGGAACUUUGGAAACAGUCGAGAUCCCCACCCCUAAACCAUAUAUAUUCAUGUAUGGGACAAUAUAAUAAAUCAAAUGAAAUAUAGGGGGAGUCCCUGUGGGUCAUCCCACCCCUUUUGUUUGAGAACUUGGAAACGGUCGAGAUCCUCACCCCUCAACCAUAUUUAUUCAUGUAUGGGACAAUAUAACCAAUCAAAUGAAAUACAGGGGGAGUCUCUGGGGUCAUCCUACCACUCCUGUUUGGGAACUUUGAAACAGUCGAGAUCCCCACCCCUAAACCAUAUAUAUUCAUGUAUGGGACAAUAUAACAAAUCAUAUGAAAUAUAGGUGGAGUUCGUGGGGCCACUCUACCCCUUCCUGUUUGAGAAUUUGAAAACGGUUGAGAUCCCCUCCAUAAACCAUAUAUAUAUUCAUGUAUUGGACAAUAUAACAAAUCAAAUGAAUUAUAGGGGGAGUCCCUAGGGUCACUGCACCCUCAUGUUUGAGAACUUGGAAACAGUCGAGAUCCUCACCACGUAACCAUAUAUACUCAUGUAUGGGACUAAAUAACAAAUCAAAUAAAAUAACAGUCGAGUUCCUAACCUUAAAUUAAACCAUAUAUUUUCAUGUAUGGGACAAAAGAACAAAUCAAAUGAAAUAUAGGGAGAGUCCUAAGGGUCACCCUACCCAAUCCUGUUUGAUAACUUGGAAACAGAUGAGAUCCCCACCCCUCAACCAUAUAUAUUCAUGUAUUGGACAAUAUAACAAAUCAAAUGAAAUAUAGGGGAAGUCACUGGGGUCCCCCACCCUAAACCAUAUAUAUUCAUGUAUGGGACAAUAUAAAAAAAAUCAAAUGAAAAUAGGGGUAGUCCCUCUUGUGUGUGUUUUGAGAACUUGUAAAAGAUUGAGAUACCAACUCCUAAACCAUAUUCAUUCCUGUUUGUCAUUUCAAAAAGAUUGAAUGACAUACAAGGUCAAUCUCAUAGGCGUCACAUAUGCAUAUCACUUUGCUAGACCUAACACCUGUCAUUUUAUUCCAAACUUAGACAUCAUGGACUUGGGUUGAAGGUGGGAGUCAUUUACAUUUACUAUGGACAGGUCAGUCAGACCUCACUAUUGAUCCCUGUAGUAGUAGUAAACAUUUGUCUGAUUUGUGUCUCAUAACUUUUGUACUGUAGAACACAAACUCAGUUUUCUUUCCAGGGAAGCAAGUCCAUUCAUACUUUUACAAGCUCGUACUAAAGUCAACUUGAAAUACUAACAGUCAACUAAUACGAACAAUUACGAUCAACUAGAAGAACUGCAAUCAUUGCGAAUUUGUACCACUGCUGACUCGAGACUCAUGACCAUGAAAAAAAAAAUAUACUUGAUAUAUACCUUGCUAUUGAAAACCUUGAUAAAAUAUGAAUUAUUUGCUUUAAUGAUUAAUUCAUUAAAUGAACAUAAAUGUACAAUUAUAUAUGAAUGUUUAAUGCUUGUUCUUUUAAAUCUUUAAAAAAAAAUUGAAGCAACAUUGCCAGUUUUCAUAAUUAUGUGUGCCUUGGUUUUUGCUUAACUGCCUACAGUGCUUACAGCGCUUUGAUUUUUUUAAUUAGGGUCAAAGGUCAAAGCAAAAGUUCAGGAAAAAUGCACAGUCACAUUUAGAUAGCUCGUUUCUCCUAAAUAUAUGCGUUUGGAGCAGAAUAACAAGAACUCAUUUAUAGAAAAAUAUCUGUUGUAUCUACAUUUAGAACUUAUUUUAUAUUUUUAACGCCAAAAAUUACUUUAAAUUGACUUUUUUGUAUAUAGGGUGCAAAUUUGAAAUUUUCAAACAGCUGUUAAAUAACAGUGACCUUGACCUAUUUCAAUUUGUAAAUUUGAAUAUUUAUACGACCGCAAAAAUUGAAAAAAAAAAUUGGUCGUAUAUUGAUAUGACGUUGGCGUCGUCGUCGUCGUUGUCGUCGUCCGAAACAUUUGGUUUUCGCACUAUAACUUAAGUAUAAGUAAAUAGAAAUCUAUGAAAUUUAAACACAAGGUGAAUGACCACAAAAGGAAGGUUUGGAUUGAUUUUGGACAGUUUAGGAAUUAGGGGCCAAAAGGGUCCCAAGUUAAACUUUGUUUGAUUUCAUCAAAAAAUGAAUUAUUUGGAUUCUUUGAUAUGCCAAAUCUAACCUUGUAUUUGGAUUUGGAUUUCAAAUUUGCCCUAACUUUAAACUGCAAACACGUCUGAAUUGCGUUGCGUUUUAUCACGGAACGUCACUCAAACAGACAAACCACGCCGUGUCAACGUAUAUUUGUUCCCCGUAACAGAAGUUCCACUGGAAACUUUGUUAUAAACAAUGUCAUACUACCUAUUCCUGUUGGAACAAAUAUUCUAUACUAUUUAUUCCGUUAGAAACAUGUACUGUAAUAUUUAUUCCUAUGGAAAUAAUAUUCCAGAAUAUUUUUUCCUUUUGGAACUUAUAUUAUGAAGGAACUUAUAUUCCGUUACAGCCCCACCGGUCAUUACCAUGUAAAAGUCUUUGUUCUGUUAAUGACCGAUGGAAUUUAUAACUGAAGAAUAAAGAAUGUCAUGUGGCCUGUUUUUAUCCAAUAAGAUAAGCUUAUUCUUAACCGAUAUAAAAUAAACAAGUUAUAGUGCCUGUUUGAAACCAUAGCUCAUGCAUAUGCUGCAUGGAGUGGAUGUAGGGAACGCAUAAUUUUAGAACAUUUGCAUCUUGUGACUUUGUUAUUAUCCUUCUCUUGAUUCCUUUCACACCGAACUCUUUGUCUACAUGAUCAGCAUGUAAAGUCAUGUGAGUAUCUACUUCAUCGGGCGUACAAAAUAAUUCUUAAAACCUGAUUAAGGGUUCUUGGAAGUGCUAGCUAGACUAUGACUUCCUUAUGUAUCAUAGUAACUGUUGAUCUACCAAGAAACCUGAUUAAGGCCUGCUGAAUCUCACUGACUCAAAGAAAUUUUUUCCAGUCAGGAAUUUGACGACUUCUAUAUAUGAUCUGGAACACUUUAACAGACGAACAAGAACUUGAUUCAGCUUUAAAAUAACUGCAGUUGUGUCUGCUGGUGUAAAAUUUAAAGCAAGAAUGGUGGUACAACAGUUUGCAAUCAUCAGUACGAAGAUGGUCUAUAUCUGACGCAUCAUGCAUGCAAUAAACUAAACUCUUUCCGUGCUCCCAUAGCCUCGAUAAAGCUUUUUUUUGUGCUUAUUCCUUGCAUACUAAUAAGCAAUUCAGUAGAAGAGCCCUGACAUAUAACACAUUUAUCCCAUUGUAUUUCAUUCCUACUUCGUUUCGGGCUUGAUGGGCAUAGUUUAAUGUGUUUAACUGUGAAUGUGUGCCACAUUCCGGGUCUGAAACGUGACCGAAGGAUUUGAUUUGUAUAUUACAACUAUAACAAAACUAUCAAUUAAAAAAAAAAGCAAUUAAGUUAUAAAAUUGCAAAACAACGAUCUUCAAACUAACUGGACUAUUCCAAAUAUACAAAUCGACCACACAACAAGCUUAAAAGAGAAAUGAAGUCAGUGACAAUUGUCCUAGUUAAUGACCUGAUAGUGUAAGCUACAAAACGAUAAUCGGCACGAGAAAAGACGUGUUUGAAGGUGUCAUACCACCAAUUAAAAGUCCCUAUCUGUUCAACCAAAUUUUGCAAUUUUCACAGCUUUCUAAAUAGAAUGAAAUUCAAAACAGUGUGGCUGUGGUCAUUGAUUGACACAUUAAAUUCAUCCAUUGACUGGGACAAUUUAGGUGAACGUUUGUAUGUAACGACCACUGCUCACUAUGUACUUUUUAAAGACACUUAAACUAUGGGGUCACCAAAGGUUCUCAACACCUUAAGAAAGUAAUUCGAAAAAUUAAUCAGAAAUAACACGAUGUUUUUAUUUAUAUCAAUUAUAUAAAUCAAAACAUAAAGGUUAUUCCUGAUUAAUUUUUCGAAUUAUUUUAUAAUUAAAGGCGUUAAGAAACCUUUGGUGACCCCACAGUUUAAAUGUCUAUCGUAGGUACGUCGUGAACAGUGGUCGUUACAGACAAACGUUCACGUAAAUUGUCCCAGUCAAUGGAUGAAUUUAAUGUGUCAAUCAAUGGCCGCAGCCACACUGUUUUGAAUUUCAUUCUAUUUUACCUUAAGUUUAACUUCAUAGAAACUAGGUAUAUCCUGAAUCGUACAGGUGUCACCUUUCUGCAUGCCAAUUUUCAACAUACAUUCAAAAUCAUAUAAGAAAGCAGAGAGCUUCCGAAAGGAGGUACCACUAAAAAUAACCCCUGGUUUUCUGGAAAUCUUAAAUUAGUAUACUAUGGAGCGCAUUAAUCCUCAAUUUUUAAUGCAAACUCAUAGACAGGUAAAUUUUGGCUCAAAAUGGUCUUAAUAUAUUUUUCUUUCAACAAAACUUUCAUUUCUGCAAAUUUGUUGGUUAGUUUAGGUGAACAAUGACAUCAAAUGCACUAUUUUUUGUCCGAGUAGGCCUACUUUCACCUACGUUCUAAAUUUGAGGGAGUAAUUGGUGGUAUGACACCUGAAUCAAGGCAGAAUUAUCACUAAAUUUGUGUUUUAAAUUGUUUUUUUCUUGUCGGCGAUUAACAUUACACGAAAGAUAUUCGGCACACAUAUGAACCAUGUCUUAUUGGUGUAAUCAGAGUAAAAAUCCCGUGAAAGUAACACCUAAUUACAUUUUCUUUCGUUCAAAAUGUGGUAAAUUUCAGCUUAAAAAAAUAGUCUUACUAAAAUCAUGAAAUACUUAAGCUUAAAUUAUAUAAAUCUUUUCAGCUUUCGUUAUAUAAUAAAUUUAAUUUUUAAGCUAAAUGAUAAGUAUCAUUUGAACAAAUAACACAGAAAGCAAUAAUUUUAUUUUUCGUGUUGAAGAUGGUCUCUAUGAUGAUGUAUCUGUGGGUACCCUAAGAAACCACAAAAUUUUGAAAAACGUGACCACGGGAGCAUACGACGACAUUCGUGAUUGGAAAAUAUAAUGAUUUUCCAAUAGUUUGCAUAUACAUAUAGCCGUGUGUUAUCCGUUAACUAGACGUCUUUUUCGAUACUGGGCACCCUACUAGUAGUAGACAAUAAACAAUACUUUAUUAUUAAACCUCAGACACAUAGGCGUACAAGAGGACAUCAUAUAUACAUGUAAACACAUGUUUAUACUCAAUACACUUAUACUGAACAUAAGUAUGCAUGCAUGGUAAAAUACAGCAAAAUAUCGAUUUUCAAAUUACCAUAACAUUCAACUAAAAAAAGACAAACAUAAAUCACAACUAUCGUGUAAGUUUUUUUUUUUUUAAAUAUUCUACAUGACAGAUUGUUAAAAGCUGUUAAAAUUGUACAUCGUUGGAUUUGCAGUAUAAUAUUGUGGUAUAUAUUUUUUUUAUUUCUAAGCAGUUGUAUUUUCUGAUUUUUACAUUUAAAUAGAUAACGAAAUUCAUCUCUAGACCUACUCCUUUUCCAUAGAGAUGACAAAUUCGCUCAUAUUUUGGAUCCAGAUCAUCUUCCCGUUUAUUAAAUCGGUUUCCAAACGAAAUUCCUGUUUGUAAUCUGAAUAAAAUGAACCUCUUGAAGAGUUAUUCAGUUGAGAAAACCAAUGUUGGAUAAAUUGAACAUUCAGUUGUCGUGAAAUUAUGUUCUUUAAACCCAGUGUUUAUGCAAUGGAUGUUGAUCUUGCCAAAUAAAACUUAUUCCAUUUUUGUCAAACAUGAUAUAACGUACGUAGUUCAUUUAAAUUUUGUGGGGUACCGCAAAUGUAACUUGAGCUUGAUUUAUUAUACAUUAUCAUUAUGGAAGAUAACUUGUUAUUCACCAAUUAUUCUAAACAACACCAAUUUAUGUUUAACAAUAGUUUCCAAGGGGAAUCUUCCGAGUUCUUUAUACACCAUAUAAUUUGGUGUACUGUUUCUUAAUUUCAAAACGGUUUUUUUCCAAAAUUGUAGGUGUAUUUUCUCAAGGCUAUCUUUACUUUCAAAUCCCCAUAUCUCUGAAGCAUAUAAAAAUACAGGACUAACUAAUGAGUCAAAAAGUUUUAGUUGUAAAUCGACGGAAAUACAUAUAUUUCUUAACUUUUUGGUAUAAAGCGUACAAAGACUUCUGUGUCUGAUCAAGAAGUUUAUUUCGUACUAUACAAAAGCUGAAAUUGAAAAGUACACCAAGGAAGCACUAGGAAUCAACUAUUUCAAUGUUUUUGCUGCGGAAAAUUCAUAUGCUAUUUUGAUGCAUAUCAUAGAUCUCUUUAAAUAGUUUAACUUUAAUGUUUGACUUUUGCAUUUUUUGCCAUAAUCCCGAUUUCCAUACAGUGUCAAAAGCAAAAGUGCAAAAUAGCUUCUUACAAAAUGAAAAAUAUAUAGUAAUUAAAGAAUACAAUACUAAAAUAUUAUCAAUAGUAGAGAAUCUUCAACGACUCUUGUGACUUUGAAAUCAGGUCUACGUGAUCAGCAUAAUUAUUAAACCUGUAACAGUCAGGAUUCUACUUCGUCAAAACUAUCUCCCCAUUACGCCAGUUCACUUUCACAAUCGUUUAAAUGGAAGCAAUUGCAGGCGGAAACCCAGUUGAAAUAGAACAAGAAAAUCGAAGCUCUUUGUUAGAGAUAAACUGGUCCGCCGUUCUAUCUAUAGCUUCGCACCGUCAGUGUAGCGAUAAGUGAACACAACAGGGGUCCAGUUUAUGUUAGAGAAGGCGAUAAAUGCUUACUGUAAUGUUUACUAUAGUAACAAAAAUUUUAAAAAUUAAUAGAAACAAAUAAAACGACAAUUUUCUUCUCAAUUACGAAGUGUUUUAUUUUAAAAACACCAUUUGCAUAAGUUUUCAAUUUAUCAAUUAUACAGUAAUGCAGAACAAUUAGAUAUCAAGUCGACGACAUGGGUAUCUAUCAAGUUGGAUGUAGAAAAUGCAUAACCUCCGAUUUUUAUUAUUUUUUACCGCGGACGGAGAACAUAUCAAUCUAUUAGUUCAGUAAUUUUCGUGUCUGCCCUUCCAUUAUUUGACUCGAGAAAAAAAAGGGUAACAAUUGUAUCACAUUGGAGAUAGUUUAUGCGAGUCACAUAUCUAUACUAUUAAACGAGAAGACCUCAUUUUGUGUGUCGCUUCUCUUCUUUCCACAAUAAAGUAAUCAUCAUGCCUCUGUGUUCUUUAGGUACAGUGCAUAGUCGCAUUUGUCAUCCAUUUUUAUGAUUAUUCAGAUUGAGUUAUUUUGGGAGAAAAACAAGAAAAAACGCAUCCGGAUAUUGAUUCCGUCAUUGGGCGAAAUUUUAAGUCAUAUUAGAUUUCCGGUUUGCGUUUUUCUGUAUUCUUUGAACAUACAUAUACUACGAAUAAAGUGUAUUUUCUAUCUGCUAUCUUUUUUUAAGUUUACUAUCCACGGCGGUCACAGAGUUAACUCAAAAGAGAGAGAGUCUGUAUAAUAUAGAAAUGACCGCCGUGGAUCGAUAAAUAACCUGAGAAUUGAAAGUAAAAAGCAAAUACACUUUAUUUAUAGUAAUGAAUGUUCAGCGCUAAAAGUAUGCAUGUGUUAUUAAUGUUAAUAGAAAUAAAAAAAAAAAGGGAAUUUUUUAAAAAUAAAGGAGGAGCAGGGCUAGGAAAACAAUACACCUUAAAGCUAAUCCCGGCUGACCGGGCCGCUUGAAAUUUGGACGCAUACAACAAUCACUUUUCCAUUGUGGCGUCAGAUAUUUUGUAUUGUGACGUCAAAGUUUUGCGGGAACCUGUGUGAUACCCAGUAAUGGCGGACAAAUAGCAAUAAGGUGUAUUGUCUUGUCCCAAAGCACCUGACUUUUGAUACCUUUUCUGAAAUUCUCCAUCAAUUAAAUUUUUUACAAAAAUUCAUUAUAACAAAAAAAAAGAAGGUGUGGUAUGAUUGCCAAUGAGACAACUCUCCACAAGAGACCAAAAUGACACAGAAACUUACAACUAUAGGUCACCGUACGGUCUUCAACAAUGAGCAAAGCCCAUACCACAAAGUCAGUUAUAAAAAGCCCCGAAACCCAAUGUAAAACAAUUCAAACGAGAAAACUAUAUAUAUAAACGGCUUUAUUUAUGUACAAUAAACAACGAAAAAAAAUGUAAGACAUGAACAAACGACAACCACUGAAUCACAGGCUCCUGACUUGAAUGUUCUCAAUAUACUAAAUGUAUGUUCAUAUUGAAAUUAAUAGAAAACAAAAAAAUGGGAAUUUGGGAAAUACAGGAGGGAGAAAAAAAAUUUCCUGUCCCCAAGUACCUAUGACUUUUGAUAUUUUUCCUGAAAUUCUCCAGUCAUUAAAUCUUUUGCAAAAUUCUUCCUACAACACUUUACAUACUUUCAACACGCUCUGAUUGCCCGCGAUUUCGCGGGUGUGUUCUAGUACUCAGUGAUAAAAAGAAACUCACAUAUACUCAGUGAUAAAAAGGGUAACAAUUGUAUCGAAAAGAGAAAAUCGAGUGCACCUGUUUAUGUUAGGGCGUGUUUGAGUUGAAUAUUUUGUCUUUAAAACGUACAAAGCAAGAAUAUUUCAUACAUCGUCUCGCUUCAGAUUCUAUCAUUUUUAUAUAUCAAAGCUACAGAUUGACUUUAUAACAUAAAAAAAUCACAGUACUAAAAGAUGAAAUAUAUGGGUCAAGUGAAAUACCUAUCUAAUGAAUCACAAAAACAGAGUAGGUGUGUUCGAAUAGCUAUUUUUUUACUGAAAGUACUUGACGACAGUCUUUCAAGUUGGAUGAUGAAAAUGCAUAUCUUCGAAAAAUUAUAUUUUUUUGUGUGUUAAAACAAGGGUUUAUAGUCUUCAACCAUUAAAAAAAUCUAGUCUGCCCUUCCACGAAAUAUUUAAUUAUAAUUUUUUUUAAAUGUCUAUGAAUUUUCGAAAAUUCCACCUGACAAACCGAUCAGACAAUAGUUUUAAGUUGAAUCAAAGCAGACAAGAUCAUUAACUGACGCUCAUUAGCUAGUUGAUACAUUUGUCUUUUAAAAUACAAUUGACAUAUAAGGAUCGUAAUGGUGCAAUGUGGAUAAAUUUAUCGGUUUCCGAGAGCAAAAUUGGCAGCGCGUCAUCCCUUUUUUUCCCUAGAUUUUUUUAUGUUAUAAAGGCAACCUGUAGCUUUGAUAUAUAAAAAUGAUAGAAUCUGAAGCGAGACGAUGUAUGAAAUUUUCUUGCUUUGUACGAUAUCAAGACAAAAUAUUCAACUCAAACACGCCCUAACAUGAAAAGGUGCACUCGGUUUUCUCUUUUUGAUACAAUUGUUACCCUUUUUAUCACUGAGUAUAUGUGAGUUUCUUUUUAUCACUGAGUAUAUGUGACUCGCAUAAACUAUCUCCAAUGUGAACACACUCAGCUUGUGUUUCAGAAAACCUUGACUCAUACAUGUCUUAUAGGUUAGACAAUACUUGGUCAUGUUUUAUUUAUAGGUUAGACAAUACUUGGUCAUGUUUUAUGAAGAUUUAAAAAACAGCAACUUUUAAUUUCGUACUGGGCAUGAACUAUACUGCUGUGUUCCUUAUAUUCCAGUUUCCAGCUGUCUCUCACUCCAAGAGGUGGAAGAAGAAUUUCAUGUUAUCAUAAUAUGUACAGAACUUAUUAGUCUUAAUAAACCUAGGACCAAAAUGUUAAAUGAACUUUCUAAUAUUGUCCCCUGUUUUAAUUCAAUGCGUAAUGCCAAAUUUUUUAUAAUAACCAUCGUUAACAGUAUUCGUAAAAUGUAUAAUGUGAGAAACAACUAUAAUGUCAAUAUAUUUAAUAGUUAUCCCACGCGGACGCGGUGUGUCAGUGUGAGAUCACCCCGGAGGCCUGAGAGGGUGAUCUACCACUGACACAUCACGUCCGAGUGGGAUAUAAACUAUUUAACAUCCCAGCUGUUUUACAUUAGACGAAAAACCAUUUACAAUUCAUAAAAUCUAGUUUAGAACGCCACACAACCAUUAUAACAUACUUUAUAUAUUACUAUAUGAUGCAUACGAUACCCUUUAUGACCCCGAACACGAUGAGUAGAUAUCGAACAAUGUCAUCUCGCCCCACUUGCCAAUCGGCCCACACUAUAUCGCCACUUUAUAAAAAAAUGGUCCCAAUCUUGUUUACCGACUCGCCCAAAUUCUGAAAAAGGGUAAAAUCAAAUUGAACAAUCAGUCUGACAACUCACUUAUUAACGAAAAGGGGUUAAACCCCACUGAAUAAAGGUCUGCCAACUCGCUCCACUUCUAAAAAUAUCUUGCUUCCUUUUAGUAUGUUAAAUCACUUUUUAAUCGUAUCCAGUCGUCCUGGUGAAGUGGUAUGUGUCGUGGCUUGAUAUGCUAAAGCUCUUGAGUUCGAAUCCCAGCAUAGGCAAUGGAUUUUUUCUACGUGAAUUUUGAUAGAUAGUCUUUUCCGUAUAAUUAAUUAUAAGUUUUAUAGUGGAUUUGACAUUCCCGCAAAAAUGUUACAGAACAAAGAAACUCAAACUGGGGUGAUCUGGAUCACCCCUGUUAGAACAAAGGAUGUAAGAACUGUGAAUGAUUCAUGACUAAUACCAUAGUGUUCUAUAUAAUUAAGAUAUUUGAAAUGAUAACUUUAAAGAGGAGGCAUGUUGUCAAAAAUGGUAUUGUAAUAAAUAUUAAUAUUUUAUUUCAAUGCUAAAUGUUUAUUUUGUCUAUCGUUGUUGUUUAAAUGUGUUUUUUUUUUUAUUUCGUAACAAUCCUAUGUUGUUUGGAUUUUAGACUAAAAAAAUCUUAUUUUUAUUGUAAAUCUUAAUCACAACCGUAUAAAAACAACAAAACAACAAAUUAAUUUAAUUUUUGCUUAUUCGCAAAAGGACCGGAGCUAGAAAUGACAAGUAAGAUUUGUUUAAACAAGUAUAAAGUUAUGGUUUCAAACUCUUUCACUCCAAUAGUUUGGUUUGAGUUUGUUGUUGUCUGUGGUAUAAAUAGAUUGAGGUCAAACAUAUCUUGAAUAUAAUAGCUAAUGACCAAAGCAUAUAGACUAAUUUGAUUGAUUUAACAACUAAAAAAGUUCGGGAUAACCAAAAAAGAAUACAUCACAGAAGAAUUUGGAACGUUUUACGAACUGGCUUCACGAACAAAUAAUUAUGAUGAAUUUUAUUAAAUUUCUUCACAUUUGCAUUUCGACUAAUUUUUUUUAUUUUUAUUUUUUUAUUUUUUUUACAACAUAAUAAUUUUAUUCAUCAAAUAUUGCUUGUUACAAAAAUUAUCAAGAUUCCAAGCUUCUCUUGAUGUACCCUGUUACACUCCACUGACUACACAGGGAAUAAUCAGCUGAUUAGAUUAAUUGACAGAUAUACAUUUUAUUGGGCGUAUGACAUUUUCGCCGAUUUUGAAUAUUUUCAUUCUUUCAUUUGCGCAGAUUUCAUUUUUUCAUUUGCGCCGAUUUUAUAUUUGCUCCUAAUUAGAUUUACAGGUAAGUUAAUACUUGUACAUAUACUGUACUUAUACCAUUGAUAAAAUCUGGUUAUAAUUGUUCAUUUGUGUUUAAAUUACUUUUGAUUCAUAUUGUUCUUGAACUUCGUUGUAACAUGAUGGACAAAGUACACACUGAAACGAGCCGAGGAGUCAAUUCUUUAGUAAUCGAGGGCCAUACAUAUCGGAAGGUUAGUGUCCUGAAACAUAACAACAUAUCUUACAAAUUUACCAUAAAUCGUGUAAAGCCAGUCACCACGGAUUCUAGUGUCAAAACACUGAUCGAGCAUAAACAUGUGGCAGAUGUCCGAAAGACAGAGGUUAAAGAACUACGGGUACUGUCAAGGAAAAAGUCUGGAGGUGUAUCUUCUAGGCCUUCUUCCAUCUCCCCGUAGUGAGCAGGGGACAACAGUUUUCCCGUUUGAAUGGUUUUACACUAGUAAUUUGGGGCCCUUUAUAGCUUGUUGUUCGUUGUGAGCCAAGGCUCCAUAUUGAAGGCCGUGCAUUGACCUAUAAUGGUUUACUUUUAUAAAUUGUUAUUUAGAUGGAGAGUUGUCUCAUUGGCACUCACACCACAGCUUCCUAUAUCUAUGUUAUGAUUGACAAAUCAUUACAUUUAUACAAAUGGCUAGUGGAAGAGGUCUAAAAUGAUAAAAUAAAAAUUACAUGACUUGGAUGGAGAGUUCUCUCAUUUGCACUCAUACCACGUCUUCUUAUAUCUAUUGACCUGUAAUUUACCUGUAAAAAAUCGGCGCAAAUGAAAAAAAUAAUAGGCGCAAAUGAAAUGCAGAUCGGCGCAAAUGCAAAACGCCGAUUUUUUUAAGUUAAACAGUUAAUGCAGAAUAACAAUACUAUAAAAUUAUUCAUUUGUUAUAUUAUUUUUAAUUUUUGAUAACAUUGGACUUAUUGUCUUAUCUCUAUUUGUGUCUACUCUCUUAUUAUAUUCAUUCACCAAAAUUCUGUAGACAUCUAUAUUUUUUGUUUUCUGUUCAGAUACAUAGUAUGUCUUAUAUAUAGAAAAUCUAAUUUAAUCAAAAAAAUUAUUGAGAAAUACUUGUUGUCUGUGAUUUUGUACCCAAAUAUUAGGUGUUGUAGUUUUAUCACAAAAUCUAUAUUACAUCUUGUAAGAAGGUCAUCUAUGUGUUGCCAAAAUCGUGUCAAAUAAGAACACUUAAAAAAAUAAUGAUUAUAGUCUUCUUCUAGGUUACAAAAAUUACACAUAUUAUUGUUAGUUAUUUUCCAUUGUGAUAGAAGCUUUUUGUUAGUACAAUAAAUUGUAGCAGUUUCCAUCUGAAAAUUUUUAAUUUAUUUUCAGUUAAAUGUUUAAAAAUAAAAUUAUACAAUGACCUCAUGUUUGGAGCUUCUUGCAUUGAUAAAACCUUAAGCCACUUGUUUAUCCCUAUUGAUAGUUCGUUUAUAUUACUCACUAGUGAAUCAUAUAACAUUUUAUUUGAAAAACAUGUAGUCUCAAAAUAACGAUCUUUCCAUGUGAUCUUAUUUCUCUGUACUUUUAACAGAAUUUUCUUUUUUAACAAUAUGAUUCCAAUUAUGUGGAAUAGAUUGUUUCAAUUUAUGAAUUUCAGCAAUCCAGUUUACCUUACACUUAAUUUUUUUUUAAAUAUUAUUUUCUGAUAUGGACAUAGUGUCGUCAAGAAUUUCGUUUAAGUAAAUACUAUAUUAUACCACUCUUUAUCCAGUUUCCAAAGAUAAUUGGUUCAUUAUGAAAUGUAAUGAAUUUAUUUCCCCAUAUUAUUUGCAUUCUUAUAUUAAAAUAUGUGUCUGUUUUUUUUUGUUCGCCCACCCCCAGUUAAAAUCCAAGCCUUUAUUACUUCCCUAUAAAAUUCGGGAACAUAUGUGAAAUAUUCUAAAUAUUUUAUAUCAUUUAAAUUCAUGUUGAAUAUAAACAAAAUAUUAUUUGACACUUUUAGAUAUUUAAAAGGUAUAAGCUUCCAGUUGGCAAUUUUACCAUUAACAAGUCUAUAUACCCAUGAUGCCUUUAGCGACAUGAAAUAACUUUUAAAAUCAACAAUUUGUAAGCCCCCUUUUUCAUAUGGACGUAUUAUCAGAUUUCUUUUUACUUUGUCAAGCUUCCCAUCCCAAAUAUAUUUAAAGCUUCGUGUUUCUAGUUCUUUAAUAUAACUUUAGGGAAUUAUGAAAACGCAUCCCAAGAAUGUAAAUAAAGGUCAGUGUUUUUAUAAUAAGUAUUUUCCCUAAAAUUGAAAGAUUUCUUUUUUCCCAUGUCUUGAACAUUUUAAUCAUUUUUUCUAUUUUGCAAUCCCAAUUUAAUUUUUUGCAUUUCGACUAAUUUUAAUUUAAAGAAACAGCACCUCAGUAUGAAUACCCAGAGAUUGAAUCUUAUUAACAAUGUUGUCAUGUUAUCUUUCGGGCCAAAAUGAUGCUAUUAACAAUACAAUAUAAAAUUAUGAAUAGAAAUAAUGGGGAAUGUGUCAAACAGAAAACAUCCCGACCAAAGAGCAGAAAACAACCGAAGGCCACCAAUGGGUUUUUAACACAGCGUGAAAAUCCCAUUACGGGAGGCAUGCUUCUUUAACAAGAAUAUUUUGUCCCACAUUGAACAGCACUGAGUUACUUUGACAAUCCAUGUCAGUUUCAAUAUCUUAUAGAGUGUUCCCCUCUGUUUUAGUUUGUUACCCGUAUUUGUUUUUGCUUCAUCGAGUAAUAUUUAUUGAACAGUGAUAUACUACAUGUUCUGUUGCGUUUAUUUAUACAACAAAAGUAAGGUACAACCAUUGAUCUCUAUUUAACAAUUAUAUGAUCUUUCGCAUCAAACAGGCAUUUGGCAAUCCUGCUGCAAAUGUUUGCACCUGUCCUAAGUCAGGAAUCUGAUGUACAGUAGUUGUCGUUGGUUUAUGUAAUUUAUACGUGUUUCUCGUUUCUCGUUUUUUUUUAUAUAGAUUAGACCGUUGGUUUUCCCGUUUGAAUGGUUUUACACGAGUAAUUUUGGGGGCCCUUUAUAGCUUGUUGUUUGGUGUGAGCCGAGGCUCCGUGUUGAAGGCCGUACAUUGACCUAUAAUUGUUUAACUUUUUUUUAAAUUGUUAUUUGGAUGGAGAGUUGUCUCAUUGGCACCCACACCACAUCUUACUAUAUCUAUUUGGUUUCACGAUUGCAUUUCUUUUAUUUUAAAGAAAGCAACUUGUAUCUUAAAAAUUAUAACAUAUAGACCAAUAAGCAAAAAUUUUCAAAAAUACAAGAUCUACAAUAGGACAAUAUGGAGGAAAUCGUCAAACGACUCCUUAUUGUAGUAAUUGCCCUUUAAUGCCGAUUUUCACUAAAAACAAAUUUGGUUUCGCCUUCUAUCAUGUUCUAUGAUAACAAUUACUAUAAUAAAUAAAAAGACAUGUUAGAUCACAAAAAUGGUUAGCAAGGCAAAGUCUGCUAACAAGUCAAAUUUUGUCGAUAGAGUUAGUAGACUAUCACUCAUUAUGACAGUGAUUUCCCAUAAAUGAGCACUUAUUAAAAAUGGUAUUUCACAUCCUAAAUUGUAUGGUAAUAUUGUACUUAAAGCGAGAAAAUCACUAUGUGAUCCGUGUAAACUCAUCGAACCUUCAAACAAACUUUUAAGUAAGGGUUAUCGUACCCAUAUUGUAAUUAGAUCUCUGAAUAUAGUUUACAUUGGCACUAAUAUCGAUUUUGUCAUUAGCAAAUUAAAACAUUACAUAAAUUGUAUCUCCUUAUGAGGCGGGAUGUAUAGAGACACAGACACGUUAAAUUUUAUCUCUAUAGAAGUCGCUCCUCACUAUCCUACUUCCUGUCGAUACAUUCAUUUUUGGCAUUGUACUAGUCAUGUAUUCUCUGACUGUUCAUGACGUUGAAAUAAUAAAUCCCUGGGAUGUGGUUUAGUUGAUUUUAGUCUCUGAUGCAUGAUUUUUUUUUAUCAUUAAUUGUUUUUGGCUUUUAACUAGCUGUCAGUAACUGCAAGUACUCUCAAAUCGUAUUUUCUUGUUAAUUCGACCUGUUGAUAAUGUUUAUAAUUCUUUUUUGUUGUUUUAUAUUUAUAUGGAUCUUGUCUAUAUUCCAGCUUUGAUUAUUUGGAAUAUCACUUCUUCUUACAACAUUUGUAUAAACUUUAAGAUUUACCUGUAUUUUUUUAAAACCGGGUUUUUUUUCUAAAGUGAAUAUUUUCGAAGGGUUAAAUAUUUCGCAGUGGUGUCUUGACAUGGCUUUGUUUGGACUUGUUUGUUGGCUUUUUGGCCUUGAAUGUUUGUCCCUAAUAUUUUAUUAACUGUGCAUUUGCAUUCAGAUAUCGCAGAUCAAAUUUAUUCGUUUAUAGUGUAUUAAUGUACGUUUUUUGAUUGAGUUAAGCCUGCCAAUUGAUAUUUUAUCGUGUGUUUUUCUAUGUUGUGAUGUUAUGCUAUUGUUUCAGAAAAAGGGAGAAGGUUUGGAUCAAUUAAAACGUUUAAUCCCGCUGCAAAUGUUUGCACCUGUCCUAAGUCAGGAAUCUGAUGUACAGUAGUUGUUGUUUGUUUAUGUAAUAUAUACGUGUUUCUCGUUUCUUGUUUUUUUAUUUUAUAUAGAUUAAACCGUUGGUUUUCCCGUUUGAAUGGCUUUACACUAGUAAUUUUGGGGGCCCUUUAUAGCUUGUUGUUCGGUGUGAGUCAAGGCUCCGUGUUGAAGGCCGUACAUUGACCUGUAAUGAUUUACUAUGGAUGGGUCUCAUUGGCACUCACACCACAUCUUCCUAUAUCUAUAUUUUUUUUGCGCAUUUUUGUGUUUUCAUCAAAAACUAAAGGAUAUAGAGAGAAACUAAACAGACUUUAUGAUCAGCAAUACAAGAUCAGCUGAACAGAGAUUUUUUCUCAAGAAUUUCUCGUCUGCGAUGUUGGAGAGUAUCCUUUGUGUAAUACGAGAUAGACUAAGGUGAACGACACCGGCUUAUUAGAGACUCUAGCCCGACUAGUAUUUGUUUUGUUGUUUUGUCAUAAUUAAGGUUGCUGUCUCAUUUGUGUAUAUCACAUGUCUCAUUUACUAAUAUUAACAACUAACAAAGCUAAUUUUAGUGUCGAAAGUUCAACAUAUUAUAUACUUAAUUGAUGUUUCACAGGUACCUAUUGAUGACAAGAUGCUGGGGCGCAGAACCUGAAAGUCGUCCAACAUUUAAAGAGAUUGUCUGUGAUGUGGAAUCUUUGCUUUCCCAGGAGGCAGAAUAUAUAGAACUGAAUACAUACCAAGAGGACAAAUAUAAUAUGUUGGAAAACACAUCUGAUGAACGGGUGUGAUUUUAUAACCAAAUUGACAGAAUUUUAUAUAAUUAGUAUCAUGAGUAUUAUUUUUUAUAAAUUGGUGUCAUUAUCCUUUCUAUUAUUCAGUCAUAUACGUUUAAAAAUUUCAGACGGUUGACGAGUGGACUUUGUCUCCAUGUCAUUUUGUAAAUGAAGGUGUAAUACCACCAAAUCAUAGUACGUCACAUCCCGUUGCACACACAAAAGGGUCGAAAAAAAUAUUCCCUUGAUCUUUUCAUGACAUUUAUUCAUGGAAAAUGAAUUAUACCUUGAGUGCAAAAGAGAUUGCAUUUAAUCACAAAUUCUAAAAGACAUCAACUUCAAAAACCUGGAAUUAAAGGAUUUUCGUUGGUCGUUGUCUAACCUCUUUUGUUUUUCGUUUAUUUGAUUUCCACAUUAAACAGGCUAUUGGGUUUUUUUUUCUAUUGAUUGUUUUACAUUAGGAUUAUUCGCUUGGGCUUUUUGUAUCAUACGGUAUGGUUUUUCUCCAUUGUUAAAGGCCCUAUGGUGACACAUAUUUGCUUACAUCUGCAUCAUUAAAUAAACGUUGGUCUCUGGACUGGGUUGCUCAAAACGUUGGAUAGUGUUAGCCAGUGGUUAAACUGCUUAUCCAUUAGUUAACUUUAAACAAAUGGAUUAUUUCUAUUGCUCAAAGUUUAUCCAGUGGAUAAAACGUGCUAUCCGCCGGAUAAAUUUAUCCGGUACUUUUUGACUGGUUAAGUUUUAGCCAUUGGUUAAAAACGGCAUUGCGAUUGAUUAAUAAUGGGUAUUAUUAAAUUAAUAUGUUGAAAUUUCAGAUAAUUGCAUUGUUUAUCAUUGUUUAUUACUUGUUAACCUUUAUAUUCGUCACAUAUGGUAUUUUGAAGCUCAUGAAAAUUUGAUAUAGGUGUAAAUUUUCACUCCUUCUCCCUAAAAAAAGAAAAAUACUCCACUUGACUUCGAUCAUUUGGCAUACACAGUAAACACUCACUUGUGGCAUUUUACGUAGUGAUUGUGAAGUCAAAAACUUAUAACAUUUAUACUUUUCAAUUUUUUAAAGUUGUGUCCACCUCAUUGUCAAUGAAAGCUAUACGUAUAAAGAAAUACACCACCACGGACGCUGUUUUUUAAUUUCAAGUUUUCAAGUUUCAAGUUUUUAUUAAAUCAGGAAAAUCAAUACAAGUAUAAUGAUGUCUUCCCCCACAUUAACAUGAUAUUACAUCACAUAAAUAAAUAUAUAUUAUGUAUGACAAAAUAUCAAAUCAAGGUUAAAUGAAUAAAAUUACAAAGAUUCAAAGCAUAAUUGUAUGUAAUGGCAUAUAUUUUUUGUGUCAUCAAUAUUUUGUGGUUAAGUAAACUAAUAAUGGUUUCCAUAACUUUUUCAAGGCACAGAUCUUGUGAAUUAAAAUUUAGUUUAUUAAAUAGUUGUUUUCUAUAAUUUUCAAAUUUUUUGCAAUAAAUAAGGAAAUGUUUUUCAUCUUCUAUUUGAUUGCAGUUAGAGCAUAUUCUGUUUUCUCUCUUAAUUUUUGGUCUGAAAUAUCUACCCUUUUCAAUCAAAAGAGGGUGGGAACUAAUUUUUAAUUUUGUAAGAUUUCUUGUUAUAUUAGGAGAACAUUUAUAAGAUAGAUAAAUUCUUCUGAAUAAAUAUUGGCAUAGAAAUGUAAUUUAUUGUCUUGUUCAAUUGAACGUAAUUUUUCUAGAUUAUUCAAAGUGUUAUUAGAAUGUUGGUUAUUAAUAUUUUCCUUUAAGUUCUUUAAAUUGAGAUUAUUGUCUGUUAAAUUAUAUUUUUCAAUAGAGUUAGAGAUAAAUUUGUGCCAAGAUCUGUGUCCAUCAGUAUAUAAUGAAUGAUCUAAUUAAUUUGAUUUACUUUUAAUAUACAUAUUGCGAUUUCCAGUUAAAAAAUUAAGGAAAUAUUUACUUAAUCAACAUAUAGUGGUAGUGGUUCAUUACAUUUGCAUGCAUUUGAUUUACAGAUACCAGUGGUAUCUAGAUUUGUACAUAUUAUGAUGCCUUAGUUACAUUGUAAUUACACGUUGCCAUGCGUUCUAUCAGGUUCGCGUUACUGUGAUGUAUAAAAUAAAUGCUUCAACCCUGUACCCAAUACCUGUUUUGUUUAAUUAUUUAGAAUUAAAACAAUUCUAUAAUUCUACGUUCUCAAAAACUAUUGAAAUAUUUAUUAUCAAUUAAGUAAGUGUUUGGAUACCAAAUAUGUAACAGGUACAAAAAUGUUCAAAUCCUUUUAAAUAUUUAUUUGAUUUAAUUUCUAAAUUUCCUUCAGGUGACUUUAAAUUUCUUUUAAGCCGAAAAUACCAAAAUAAGCACAGUGUCUUUGGUUAAUCUUGCCGCUGUUUUGUUUCCAAAACUCCAUGCUACAGUCUUGCAUAAAGAUCCAUAAAGUACUGACAAAAAAAUCAUAUUAAAAAACUAAAAUGUAUUUUGUGGACAUAGAAUUUGGUUUUGGUAAAAAAAAAUAUAUAUAUAUAUAUAUAAUCUAAAUCCUUAUUUGUAGUAUUAAGACAGAUAACAGUGCUGAAAGUUAGGUUGAAGUAAUAUAUAGAUUUGCGAGUAAAAAAUUGAAUAAAAUAAUUAUUCCAAAUAAAUGUGUAUCGCCUGUGUACAAAAAACCCUGUACAAAUUAUAAUUUGUACGAAAUUACAACUUCUUCACAACACAUGUAUAUCAAUGCAUAUAAAAACGUUAUUAAGAAUUUUUUCUUGUUGGAUACACCAAGGAUUUGUAUAGUAAGAUCUUACUAUACAAAUCCUUGGAUACACAUGUAAUUGCAAUAUUUCAUGCAUAUUCAGGACAUACAAAAACAAGAUAUGCCAGAUCUUGAAGAAUUGUUAGCACAAAUACAGAUUGCCUCUUUUGAAGGAGGUUGUGUUAAAUAGGGCAGAAAUCUAGCCUUGCAACAGGCUACCGAUAACACAGACCAAUUAAGGAGAUAUUUCAAUGAUCUUUAUACGUGCAGAUUAAGUUACAUAUGCCUGCAUGAGGCAUUGGAUUCAGGAUGACGUGGCUGCGUAUCUAUACAUCCAGCACAGCACAUACACCAUUUCUUUGGCGUCCGUAUAAUGGUAUGGCGAUGUCGUUGUUGGAAGAAAUUCAUUUUCCAGACAAUAUAACUUGUGUGCUAGUGAAUGGAUCUCUGUGAAAUUGAUUUUAACACAAGGUUCCAUACCACAAAGGAACGGGUUUGGAUUGAUUUGGUGGUUAUGACUUAAACUAUUUAAAAAACGUGUGUACAAGUGUAUGGAUAUCUAUGAAAUUUAACCACAACAUGCUCAAGGUUACAUACAAAAAAGAUGGAUGGAAUCAUGGAUUAAUUUGGGUGUUGUCCUAAUUUGUAGGAAUAAGGGGCUAAAACAAGCAUUAUUAUUGUUUUAAGACAAUGAAUUUUGUGUAAUUUUGGGAUUGAUUUGGGUGAUAAUGGUUCAAAUUUUCUAGGUUUUGUUACAAAUUAGGUAGUUAGUUUUCUCAAUUAAAUUGUUUUAUAUUUUUCAUGUCAGACUUUUACAGCCGACCACGUAGCUAUUAAAGAUAUAUAUAAGUGUUGUGAAUCUUUAGUAAAAAUAGAUAAUAAACAAUCUUAUUUUAUUAAUAAUCUCCAUUAAAUUUUUGAUGGAACAUGUGAUUCUGUGUCCUUAAUAUCAAUAUGUAGUUUCCUUAAUAUCAAUAUGUAGUCUUAGUUUUGCAUAUUAUGAUCUUUAAAUUUAAUAGAAUGAAAUUCAAAACAGUGUGGCUGUGGCCAUUGAUUGACACAUUAAAUUCAUCCAUUGACUGGGACAAUUUACG